GGGCGGAGCUGCCUGGACGUGGACGACUGCCGGGCCGAGCCGAGCCCCUGCGAGCAGGAGUGCGUGAACACCCAGGGCGGCUUCGAGUGCCUCUGCUAUGAAACCUAUGAGCCGGUCGAGGGCAGGUGCCUGCUGAAAAAUCGCAAGUGCGAGGAGUUAAUGUGCGAGCACGAAUGUGCAGAUGUCAAGGGAGAGUAUAGGUGCAUCUGCUCUGAAGGAUAUGCGCCCCAUCCCCAAAUGCCGAAUACGUGUGUGAUGUUCUGCAAUGAGACCAGCUGCCCAGCUGAGUGCGACCCCCACACCGGGGACACCUGCUACUGUGCAGAUGGCUUUAUCUUGCAAGACGACCCAGAUGGGACAAAGGUCUGCGUGGAUAUUGAUGAGUGUGAUUCUGGAAGUUGCCAGAAACUGAAGUGCAUUAACGUGCCAGGCAGCUAUAUGUGUCUCUGUCCAGGUGGGCAGUUGUGCAAGGAACCACCAGAUGAAACAGAGUACUCUGGUGAUGCUGAAACUUAUUCCACACCCUCAGUUCCCUCCUUUAUCCCACCCAAGGAGGAAGAUGCUGGCAGAAGCCAAGGGGUAUUGAUUGCUAUCAUUGUUAGUACCACAUUGAUGGUUAUAGCGUUAGUAGCGAUUUUGUGCUACUUGGUGAAAAAACACUGCACUUUACCCACCGUAAUGGAUUACAAAUGCCAACAAUCCGAGACUGGGGUGCCAUUGCAGCAAGUAGUCACCCCAAACAGCGCCUCUUCCUGACGGAAAAUGUGGACCUUCACAUGUGAGGGAAAGAAGUGGGAAUGGGGGAGAGCUAAAUUAUUUGAAUACUGGAUGGGAAAUGCCUGUGAAUUCCCCUCGGAACCGCUGUGCAAACAUCGCUUCUUGAGAGUGGUCCUACAAAUGCCAUGCAUUGAGGUCAAUGUCAGUGUGUGACACUUUCCUGUGCAUGAAUCCCAAGGCGAGAGCGAAUGCGCAGCAGGAGGGCGCCUGGACUGCAUUCAGCUCUAGGACUUCUGCUCCAACUGCUUUUUCUCCAGAUGCAGACUUCAUGAUUUGUUUCUCUCUCUCAACCAGACAUGAAACUAACGGUGCCUUUCUUCUAAAAAUGACUUUUUGUUAGUUUUGAAAACUUGGUUACCUAAAAUAAAAAAUAAUAAAAAGGGGCUGUAUUUUAUUAGCAUUGUUUUACAAUGUAUUGAUACUGAUGUAUUUUCAGUCUGCUUCAUGCAUCUGAUAAAAGGUGUUUGCUACAAAGCUUAUGCCACAUCAACCACUUAGGAUACAGAACUACUAUGCAACUCUCAAUUUUAAUGGUCCCUUGUCAGUAGAACUUCUAAUUAGGAUCAACGUGUAGUUUUUAUGUGGCAGGAGCAGUUUUGCAUAUUUGCAGUUAAGAAGGUGUGUUUUAUGUAGCAGCAACAUUAGGAAGCUCCCUUCCACUGAGUCAGACCGUUGGUCUAUCUCAGUGGCUCCCAAUUAGGGGUCAGAACGCACCCAGUGGAUUCAUGGCCCCAUCCCUUGCCCCCCCCUUUUGGUCAUUUUUGCAUGGUAAUAUCACAGAUUUUAUGGUCUGUUUUUUAGUAAACCUAAAAACCUUUGCUUAUUAGGGGCUCCCCCACAUUUUGUUAAAAAAAUGCUUUGCAGAGGUAACUACCAUAGAGUUAUCAAAAUUUUCAAAAGUAGGGGGUCCAUGCCUUGGCUUUUGAAAAAUAGGGGGUCCUCCAUAAUUACCUAACUGGGAACCACUGGUCUAUCUUAUUCAUUAUUGUUUGCACAGAGAUUCAGCGGGCCGUGGAGCUCUGCCAUACUCCCCCCCUCAUCCCAGUGAAAUAUCUGUUUUACAAUCUCAUUUUCAGGCUGUGGGGUUUUUUUGUUUUUGUUUUGCAAAACAACAAAUUAUUUAACAUUGUCAAAUUCAGAAACAUAAUCUGUAGUUAUUCAAACAUUUAUUUUGCUGAACUGAAUUCUUUUGUCUUCAUCCUAUUUUCUUUUCCAUUGCAAAAUUUUCACUGAUGUCUUUGAAAGUGGGUUCAUGCCCUUUCCUCUUGCUUCUCAGUAUCAUGGUGGGGAAAUCUGUAUUGUGGUGUUUAAUGUCCUCAUUUCGGACUUUUUUUAUUAAAAAGGUGGUAAAAUAGACUUCAGAUCCAAUUUUAAAACCAGUUGCAUAUCAAAUCAAGCCCAGAGCAUUAAGUUAAGCGCUUCACAUUGGAAGAGCUGAAGACAAAUCUGAACUUCAACAGGACCCUGAAGAAGUCUGCUUUAAAGAUUUAUCUCAUCUGUGCCUUUUGUGAGUUAUGACUCCAGCCUCGCACUGUGUUCUUGGUAAAGAGUGGACAAUCCUACAAAAACUCUAGCUGAGUUUAGGCUUUUUAUUUGCUUGGCACAGUUCUGACUAAACAACCUUGAUAUUUCCGAUUGUGUUAAAACGUGACUUUUUUAAAAAGUGAAAGUGAGUGGGAGAGGUAUUUUUCAUCAGCUGUUUUGUAAACUUCAUAGUUGCAAGUAUUUAUUUAUUUAUGGGAUAUAUAUUAUUGCAGAAUAAUGGUUCCAUCCCAUGGGUGAAUAAUAAAAUUUAUAUGAAAAGUACAAUAGCCUUCAGACGCUGGACACAGGCUUGUGUGCCAGUCUACCAUGUUUCACUUGACUGAGACUGCAGCCCCGUCACAUCUGGGAGUAAGCCUCACCCAGUUCAGGGUACUUCCACCUGAGUAGGCUGGGUUAGGAUUGCAGCCUGAUGCAUGGAAUAGCCAGCCUCCCCGCAACUGGUCUGUACAAUUAUGAAAAACAUUCACAAAUAUAAGUUAAAUAAAACCACGUUAGCUUGAUGCCUAUCCUUGAUUAAUAAUGCUGUGAUUGUGACAGUACUGAUUAUACAAUAAUGGUUCUAUAAUAUGAUAAAAUGUCUAAGGCCACAACUGUAUGCUCGCCUGGAAGGAAGUCCUGUUGAACUUAAUGGGGUUACCUUUGAGUAGACACAUGGGUGAUAAUCCAGCAACAUUUCAUUCAUGGCUGAUGCUGAACUGGUUUUUACUGCUAGAUGAAUCAACAAAAGCUUUAGUUUGUUGAUCAGUGGAGACAAAUUUAAACUGGUGGGGUUUGAGUUUACAUUUUAUUUUAAGGUUACUUUAAAAUAAGUGAGAAAGAAAUAAGAGAAAUAAGAGAAAAAAAUACUGUACUAUGGUAGAUAUGAACUUUUCCGCUAAUAAACAUGACUUUAAAGCUUU